GUCAAAAUUAUUCCAUUGCUCAUGGCAAUUUUAGUUUCUUAAUUCUCCUUUUUAUAACAUAAAAUAGUUGAUACAUAUCAUAGAAACUUCAAUAUAAACACCAUGGCAAUUUAUGUGCAAUAGACAUGGCAAUUCUUAACCAAAAAAGUCAUCGAAAUAAAUUAAUAUGAGCUUUGUACGAACUUGUGAUGGUGAAGAAAUAAAAACGACGCAUGGCAUAAUAAAGUUUGUCAUCACAAGGGGCAAUAUAAAGU
rnacentral:lncRNA from 1 species